CGNCUUGGGAUCGGACCGCGUACUAUUAGCUUGUUGGUGGGGUAAUGGCCUACCAAUGCUGUGAUGGUUACCGGGUGUGAGAGCAUGGCCCGGCUCACUGGGACUGAGACACUGCCCAGACACCUACGGGUGGCUGCAGUCGAGAAUCUUCGGCAAUGGACGAAAGUCUGACCGAGCGACGCCGCGUGCGGGAUGAAGGCCCUCGGGUUGUAAACCGCUGUCAGUUGGAAUGAAGGGCCUGUGCAGAGCAGGUCUUGACCGAUCUUCAGAGGAAGGACGGGCUAAGUUCGUGCCAGCAGCCGCGGUAAGACGAACCGUCCAAACGUUAUUCGGUAUCACUGGGCUUAAAGCGUGCGUAGGCGGCCUGGAAGGUGAGAUGUGAAAGCCCACGGCUCAACCGUGGAAUUGCGUUUCAAACCGCCAGGCUUGAGGAAGGCCGGGGUGUUGGGAACUUAUGGUGGAGCGGUGAAAUGCGUUGAUAUCAUAGGGAACACCGGUGGCGAAGGCGCAACACUGGGUCUUUUCUGACGCUGAGUGCACGAAAGCUAGGGUAGCGAACGGGAUUAGAUACCC
rnacentral:rRNA from 1 species